rnacentral:rRNA from 1 species
CAUAAGCCAGCUUGACUGCGAGCGUGACGGCGCGAGCAGGUGCGAAAGCAGGUCAUAGUGAUCCGGUGGUUCUGAAUGGAAGGGCCAUCGCUCAACGGAUAAAAGGUACUCCGGGGAUAACAGGCUGAUACCGCCCAAGAGUUCAUAUCGACGGCGGUGUUUGGCACCUCGAUGUCGGCUCAUCACAUCCUGGGGCUGAAGUAGGUCCCAAGGGUAUGGCUGUUCGCCAUUUAAAGUGGUACGCGAGCUGGGUUUAGAACGUCGUGAGACAGUUC